CGUGUAGGCGGGAAUGCAAGUCAGAUGUGAAAUACCGAGGCUUAACUUCGGGGCUGCAUCUGAAACUGCGUUUCUUGAGUGUCGGAGAGGAAAGUGGAAUUCCCAGUGUAGCGGUGAAAUGCGUAGAUAUUGGGAGGAACACCAGUGGCGAAGGCGACUUUCUGGACGAUAACUGACGCUGAGGCGCGAAAGCGUGGGGAGCAAACAGGAUUAGAUACCCUGGUAGUCCACGCCGUAAACGAUGGAUACUAGGUGUGGGAGGUAUCGACCCCUUCCGUGCCGCAGUUAACACAAUAAGUAUCCCACCUGGGAGUACGGCCGCAAGGUUGAA
rnacentral:rRNA from 1 species